rnacentral:rRNA from 1 species
GACAGAGGGUGCAAACGUUGUUCGGAAUUACUGGGCGUAAAGCGCAUGUAGGCGGUUCGUCAAGUCAGAUGUGAAAGCCCUGGGCUUAACCCAGGAAGUGCAUUUGAAACUCACGAACUUGAGUCCCGGAGAGGAAGGUGGAAUGCUUGGUGUAGAGGUGAAAUUCGUAGAUAUCAAGCGGAACACCGGUGGCGAAGGCGGCCUUCUGGACAGUGACUGACGCUGAGACACGAAAGCGUGGGGAGCAAACAGG